AUUGAACGCUGGCGGCAGGCUUAACACAUGCAAGUCGAGCUAGCGGCGGACGGGUGAGUAAUGCCUGGGAAACUGCCUGAUGGAGGGGGAUAACUACUGGAAACGGUAGCUAAUACCGCAUACCAUCAGAUGUGCCCAGGUGGGAUUAGCUAGUUGGUGGGGUAAUGGCUCACCAAGGCGACGAUCCCUAGCUGGUCUGAGAGGAUGACCAGCCACACUGGGACUGAGACACGGCCCAGACGCCUACGGGAGGCAGCAGUGGGGAAUAUUGCACAAUGGGGGCAAGCCUGAUGCAGCCAUGCCGCGUGUGUGAAGAAGGCCUUCGGGUUGUAAAGCACUUUCGGCAACGAGGCGUUAAUCGCAGAAGAAGCACCGGCUAACUCCGUGCCAGCAGCCGCGGUAAUAC
rnacentral:rRNA from 1 species